CCUGAAUGGCGAAGGACCAUCCACACUCCAUCUCUGCAGUGAAGAGGAUAAAAUCCACAUUCCAUAUCUGCAGUGAAGAAGAUAAAAUCCACACUUCAUCUCUGCAGUGAUAAGCUGCCGAAUGGUUGUUGGAGUGUUAUGUUACCCAAAGACCACAAGCUGGAGGAACAGAAAUAGCAGAGACGUAAAGCUGCAGAGGAAGCAAGGGAGAAUUCUUACGGGAACCAUUCUGCCUUGCAUCUGUUGCAUUUGGGAGAGCAUUCCCUGGACACUGGUCAGGAUCUUGUUCUGAUGUGUUGCCAAGGUGAUGCCUAUGCGAGCCAUGUCCCUGAAAAGGAUGAAGAGAUGAGGCCCUUUAGGAUCGGGGACAACAAAAACAAAGACGUAGAUCAACUCCACAUGAUGAAUUUAACAGCCCUGCAGCCCGACAGCUUAACUGCUGAACAAGGACUUUCACUUGCCAACAUAGCAAUGCUAAUGCUGUAAUCUAAACAGAUGAAAUAUAUGUACAUCAACAUCACAGACAACUGGCAAACACUUUGGAACAUUUUAUACGUGUAGACUUUCCUUUAACUUUCCAAAGACAUAACCUGUUGCACUAAAAGAUGCUAAAGCUACCAGCUUCUGGAGUGGUGUAUCCAGCAGCGGUGAAGUUGUCGCAGUAUCUCUCCAUGCCGAUGGCCUGCAGCCAGUCCUCCACUGUGCCCGCAGCUGAUGACGCCUCAGGGCUCCCUGGCUCCAACAGCGUGGUGUUAGGCCUGGUGGGCGGAGGAAAGAACAGUCAGGACCGCAUUUUAUGCACUUAAGAUUCUUAGUUUCCUCAGAUUUGCAGUUAGUGUUUAAAGGGUCUGCACCAUGAUGUUGGCAACUGCCUGUGCAAAGAGGCGAUAAAAGUUACAUUCUGUUAAAGUGCUUUUGAUUUAAAAGGUAAUGAUCCACUUUCUUUUACAGCCUAGAGCGCCACUGAUUCAUGACACAACAACAGCAUGUGGGACUAAGAGUUUCCUGACUCCUGACGUAGAUGCAGUGGUGUCAGAAGUAUAUGACACGUACACCUUGUGUGAUGACAGAGCGCUUUCCGCAAGCUGUAAAAUGCACCAUGCAACAUUUCGCUCUAGUUUUAUCCUGUCAGCAGCUCUGUCAGAUUCUGCUCUGUUCUGUGUCCCUGUGUUGUGAGUUCUACUUGCAAAACCCAGCCAAGGCAAACACGGUUCCUCCCGAGUGUGAUGGACACAGUUAGUUAAUCCUUAUUUCACAAAAAACACACACCCCCGCCACACUUUGGUGAAUUUUACCGCACACCAGAGUUUUAUCACAUUCAGAUAUUCAUCAGCAGAAUACGUCUCCCUUUUUCUCACAUCCUUCUAUUCCUUUUUUCCCCCAACCGUUCUUUCUGUUUCAGCAGCGCCGUGGGCCAUGAAACAUUUACACGGGGCCGGUGAGUCUGAGUCGGUGGCAGUGUCGUCUCGCUCUGCAGUUUCUCCCCCGGUCCUCUUCAGCGUGUUGGGGUUGCGGAUUAGUUUGUCCAGCAUGUUGACGAUCUGUCCGAACUUCGGCCGAUCGGCUCUCUCCCUCUGCCAGCAGUCCAGCAUGAGCUGGUGGAGUGCCACGGGGCAGUCCAUGGGCGGGGGCAGCCGAUAGCCCUCAUCAAUAGCCUUGAUAACCUGGUCACAACAUCAAUGCAGCUGUAAGUUACUUUGUUCCUGACUGUUUGUCUGAAGCAGCUGUUGGCAGUAACAAUAAAUCUUGUCCUUUUUAUUCUCCUGA